rnacentral:rRNA from 1 species
CCUACGGGUGGCUGCAGUGGGGAAUAUUGGACAAUGGGCGAAAGCCUGAUCCAGCCAUGCCGCGUGUGUGAAGAAGGCCUUCGGGUUGUAAAGCACUUUCAGUGGGGAAGAAAGCCUUGGGGCUAAUACCCUCGAGGAAGGACAUCACCCACAGAAGAAGCACCGGCUAACUCCGUGCCAGCAGCCGCGGUAAUACGGAGGGUGCGAGCGUUAAUCGGAAUUACUGGGCGUAAAGCGCGCGUAGGCGGUCUGAUAAGCCGGUUGUGAAAGCCCCGGGCUCAACCUGGGAACGGCAUCCGGAGGAGUCAGGAGAGCGUGCGGGAGAGGAAGGUAGAAUUCCAGUGGCAAGGGUCGCAUGCGUAGAGAGCAGGAGGGGUAACAGUGGCGAAGGAGGAUAUCUGGAAUGACAGUGACGCGGAUGUGCGAUACCGCGAGUCGAAAACAGGGUUAGCGAGCACAGAAGUC